rnacentral:rRNA from 1 species
GACGAACGCUGGCGGCGUGCUUAACACAUGCAAGUCGAACGGAAAGGCCCUGCUUGCAGGGUACUCGAGUGGCGAACGGGUGAGUAACACGUGGGUGAUCUGCCCUGCACUUCGGGAUAAGCCUGGGAAACUGGGUCUAAUACCGGAUAGGAGCCAUUUUUAGUGUGAUGGUUGGAAAGUUUUUUCGGUGUAGGAUGAGCUCGCGGCCUAUCAGCUUGUUGGUGGGGUAAUGGCCUACCAAGGCGGCGACGGGUAGCCGGCCUGGGAGGGUGGACGGCCACAUUGGGACUGAGAUACGGCCCAGACUCCUACGGGAGGCAGAAGUGGGGAAUAUUGAACAAUGGGCGCAAGCCUGAUGCAGCGACGCCGCGUGGGGGAUGACGGCCUUCGGGUUGUAAAAUCCUUUCGCUAGGGACGAAGCUUUUUGUGACGGUACCUAGAGAAGAAGCACCGGCUAACUACGUG